GAUCCUGGCUCAGAUUGAACGCUGGCGGCAUGCCUUACACAUGCAAGUCGAACGGUAACGGGCCUUCGGGUGCCGACGAGUGGCGAACGGGUGAGUAAUGCAUCGGAACGUACCUUUCAGUGGGGGAUAACGUAGCGAAAGUUACGCUAAUACCGCAUAUUCUGUGAGCAGGAAAGCAGGGGAUCGCAAGACCUUGCGCUGAUUGAGCGGCCGAUGUCAGAUUAGCUAGUUGGUGAGGUAAAGGCUCACCAAGGCGACGAUCUGUAGCGGGUCUGAGAGGAUGAUCCGCCACACUGGAACUGAGACACGGUCCAGACUCCUACGGGAGGCAGCAGGUGGGGUAAUUUUGGACAAUGGGGGCAACCCUGAUCCAGCCAUGCCGCGUGAGUGAAGAAGGCCUUCGGGUUGUAAAGCUCUUUCGGCCGGGAAGAAAUCGCAUGGGUUAAUACCCUGUGCGGAUGACGGUACCGGCAUAAGAAGCACCGGCUAACUACGUG
rnacentral:rRNA from 1 species